AGCAUUAUGGAGGUAGAGCACUGUUAAGGCUAGGGGGAUCACCAAUCUUACCAAACCUUGGCAAACUCCGAAUGCCAUAAUGUGUUGCUCAGGAGUGAGUCUUAGGGGGCUAAGCUCCUAAGACAAAAGGGAAACAACCCAGAUCGUCAGUUAAGGUCCCUAAAAUAUACUAAGUGGAAAAGGAAGUGGAAUUACUUAAACAGCCAGGAGGUUGGCUUAGAAGCAGCCAUCCUUUAAAGAAAGCGUAACAGCUCACUGGUUUAGUGAUUCUGCGCCGAAAAUGUAACGGGGCUAAGUAUAUUACCGAAACUACGAAAUUACUAUGUAAUUGGUAGGGGAGCGUUCUGUAUUAGGUUGAAGAUGAGCUGUGAAGCUUGUUGGACGAAUCAGAAGUGAGAAUGUCGGCAUGAGUAACGAAAAGAUAAGUGAGAAUCUUAUCCGCCGAAAACCUAAGGUUUCCUGGGGAAGGCUCGUCCGCCCAGGGUUAGUCGGGCCUAAGUUGAGGUCGAAAGACGUAGACGAUGGACAACAGGCUAAUAUUCCUGUACCACUAUAAGCGCGUUAUCAGCGAUGGGGUGACGCAGAAGGAUAGGUCAGCCACUUAUUGGAUUGUGGUUUAAGCAAGUAGGAGUAAGGGAAUUGGAAAAUCCGUCCCUUUUUAACUCUGAGAUGUUAUGACGAAGUGUUUACACUGAAGUGAUUGACUCCGCACUGACAAGAAAAACCUCUAGUGAGUGCUUAUGGUGACCGUACUAAAACCAACACAGGUAGGUAGGUAGAGAAUACUAAGGCGCGCGAGAUAACUCUCGUUAAGGAACUCUGCAAAAUGGCCUCGUAACUUCGGGAGAAGAGGUGCCUAUGUAGCGUGAAAGUCUUUACGACCGGAGCGUGAAUAGGUUGCAAUAAAAUGACUCAAACGACUGUUUACCAAAAACACAGGUCCCUGCUAAACCGUAAGGUGAUGUAUAGGGGCUGACGCCUGCCCAGUGCUGGAAGGUUAAUAGGAGNUGUNANUUUUGCUUGCAAGACAAAGCAGCGAAUUGAAGCCCCAGUGAACGGCGGCCGUAACUAUAACGGUCCUAAGGUAGCGAAAUUCCUUGUCGGGUAAAGUUCCGACCCGCACGAAAGGCGUAACGAAUUGAGCACUGUCUCAACGAGAGACUCGGUGAAAUUGAAAUAUCCGUGAAGAUGCGGAUUUCCUAUAGCAAGACAGAAAGACCCCGUGGAGCUUUACUGUAACUUGGCUUUGUUUUUUGGAAUAAUUUGUGCAGGAUAGGUGGGAGGCUUUGAUCUAUAGUCGUCAGAUUAUAGUGAGCCAAUGGUGAGAUACCACCCUUGUUAUUUUGAAAAACUAACUAUGUUCCGUUAUCCGGAACUAGGACAUAGUCUGGUGGGCAGUUUGACUGGGGCGGUCGCCUCCCAAAGAGUAACGGAGGCGCUCAAAGGUUCACUCAAGACGGUUGGAAAUCGUCUGUAGAGCGUAAGGGUAUAAGUGAGCUUGACUGCGAGACUUACAAGUCAAGCAGGGACGAAAGUCGGACCUAGUGAUCCGGUGACUCCGUAUGGAAGGGUCAUCGCUCAACGG
rnacentral:rRNA from 1 species